rnacentral:lncRNA from 1 species
GAGACUUUAGAGGAGGGCGAGAAAAGGAAAACUAAACUAGGCUGAGAGAUUUCUAAGUCUAUUUAAGCGUGGUUUGAAAAGCUUUUUUACUAGGGAACUUGCCCAACUUUAUGGAGAAGCGAGAGGAAUCAAUUUGCUCUGAAUAACAGCGUGAUUUGAUGGUUUUUAUUUCUAAAAUGUAUGAGGAAACAAACAACUGUGGUUGGACAGUAACAAGAGUUUUCAAUUCUGCAUUUUACCAAGAGAAAUAAAACCUCAAGGAUGAGAACAACCAAACAAAGAACCAAAAAAAUAAAAAUAAAAAUAAAAAAAUUACACAAAAAUCAUUAAAAAUGAGUCAUCAUUUAAAAUUUUAAAAAUAAAGGUUUAAAAGGACACGCGCCGCAAAA